rnacentral:rRNA from 1 species
CCUACGGGUGGCAGCAGUAGGGAAUAUUGCUCAAUGGGGGAAACCCUGAAGCAGCAACGCCGCGUGGAGGAUGAAGGCUUUCGGAUUGUAAACCCCUUUUGGCAGAGAAGAUAAUGGCGGUAUCCUACCUACAACCACCCGCCAACUCCGUGCCACCAGCCGCGGUUAGACGGAGGGCGCAAGCGUUACUCGGAAUUACUGGGCGUUAAGAGGGCGGAGGCGGGAUAGCAAGUCUGAUGGGAAAGCCUAAGGUUUAACCAUGGGACUGCAUUUGAAACUGUUAUUCUAGAGUGUGGGAGAGGUAGGUGGAAUGCUUGGUGUAGCGGUGAAAUGCGUAGAGAUCAAGAGGAAUACUCAUUGCGAAGGCGGCCUACUGGAACAUAACUGACGCUGAUGCGCGAAAGCGUGGGGAGCAAACAGGAUUAGAUACCCUAGUAGUC